AGGGUUUGAUCAUGGCUCAGAUUGAACGCUGGCGGUAUGCUUAACACAUGCAAGUCGAACGGAAACGAUACUAGCUUGCUAGUAGGCGUCGAGUGGCGGACGGGUGAGUAACGCGUAGGAAUCUGCCUGAUAGUGGGGGAUAGCCCGAAGAAAUUCGGAUUAAUACCGCAUAAUCUAUUCGUAGUAAAGUGGGGGACUUUCGAGCCUCACGCUAUCAGAUGAGCCUGCGUAAGAUUAGCUAGUUGGUAGGGUAAAAGCCUACCAAGGCUACGAUCUUUAGCUGGUCUGAGAGGAUGAUCAGCCACAUCGGGACUGAGACACGGCCCGAACUCCUACGGGAGGCAGCAGUGGGGAAUAUUGGACAAUGGGGGCAACCCUGAUCCAGCAAUACCGCGUGUGUGAAGAAGGCCUGAGGGUUGUAAAGCACUUUCAAUUGUGAAGAAAAGUUAACGGUUAAUAACCGUUAGCCUUGACGUUAACUUUAGAAGAAGCACCGGCUAACUCCGUGCCAGCAGCCGCGGUAAUACGGAGGGUGCAAGCGUUAAUCGGAAUUACUGGGCGUAAAGCGUGCGUAGGCGGUUUAUUAAGUCAGAUGUGAAAGCCCCGGGCUUAACCUGGGAACUGCAUUUGAAACUGGUCAACUAGAGUAUGGUAGAGGAAAAUGGAAUUUCUGGUGUAGCGGUGAAAUGC
rnacentral:rRNA from 1 species